ensembl:snRNA U6 U6 spliceosomal RNA
AUGCUCACUUCUGCAGCACAUAUACUAAAAUUGGAGUGAUACAGAGAAGAUUAGCAUGGCCCCAGCAAAAAGAUGACAGGCAAAUUCAUGAAGUUUUCCAUAUUUUU